rnacentral:lncRNA from 1 species
CAUAUUUGUUGUUCUCUUAUUCUAUGCAUCUUCCUCCUCUAUUACCAUUAAAGUGUGGCCUUGACUGCGUCAGUUGGUAUUAGAGCCCAACCAAUCCUUAAAUAGAGUUUCUUCUGUAUGGUUGAGAUGGUGGGUGGUGCUGGUGGCUGCAAGUGGAACCAAAUAGCAACUCAGACAGCGAUGGCUCAUAAAGAAAUCUAGC